rnacentral:rRNA from 1 species
UGGGGAAUAUUGCGCAAUGGUCGAAAGACUGACGCAGCGACGCCGCGUGUGGGAGGAAGCCCUUCGGGGUGUAAACCACUGUCAGGGGGGAAGAACCCUGGAGAUGCAAAUAGUUUCUCCAGCUGACGGUACCCCCAGAGGAAGCGCCGGCUAACUCCGUGCCAGCAGCCGCGGUAAGACGGAGGGCGCAAGCGUUGUUCGGAAUUACUGGGCGUAAAGCGCGGGCAGGCGGUCUUUUAAGUCCUCUGUGAAAAUCCGGGGCUCAACUCCGGAAAUGCAGAAGAUACUGGAAGACUAGAGACCGGUAGAGGCUAGCGGAAUUCCUGGUGUAGCGGUGGAAUGCGUAGAUAUCAGGAAGAACACCUGUGGCGAAGGCGGCUAGCUGGGCCGGGUCUGACGCUCAUCCGCGAAAGCGUGGGGAGCAAACAGGAUUAGAUACCCGCGUAGUCC